rnacentral:lncRNA from 1 species
GAUGAUCUAGAAGAGAUUGCCUCUUUACUUUGGAGCUGCUUUGACUUUGCAAAAGGGAGGAAAGACAGAGUCUAUUUAGGAACUGCUCGGUCGCACAAAAGAGAGGAGGGACUUGACCUUUCAUGUUUCCUAGCUGCCUAUACAGAAAUCUCAAUAUUAGAGGAGGACUAACUGCUGAGAGUAGUACUUAAUUGUGCUUGGGCAAGAAGAAAAUAGAGUCAAAGCAUCUCCAAAGUAGAGGGGCAAUAUCUUCUAGAUCAUCGUGUUACUCUCCUAAGAACACAGCAUUAAUCAGCCCAAGAAAANNNNNNNNNNNNNNNNNNNNNNNNNNNNNNNNNNNNNNNNNNNNNNNNNNNNNNNNNNNNNNNNNNNNNNNNNNNNNNNNNNNNNNNNNNNNNNNNNNNNAGAAGCUAUUUUGCCCUCUUUAUUUCCAUUGUUCCCUUCAAAGCCUUCAGUUGUUCGUCCUCUACAUGACCAGCUCACACCACUGUAACCACCGUCACACCAACCUCCGGUCCCUACUUCUUCCCACGUCAUUCGUUCACAUGUAUCUUGAUUUUACCUAACCUAACUGAACAACAGAACUGUGGUCCAUAACGAUCAUGUUAGGAUGCUCAAGUGCAUUACAAGAUACUAUGAAAGGGGUAUCUUCGUAUGAAUAAUGAAAUGCUAGCCUUGUUUCCAACAAACCCAAGUCCAACAUGGCUCUCGGAAAAGCUUCUCUUAUUUAACGCAAAGUAUCAUACUCCUCUGCUACUAAAACCUCGAUUUUGAGCACUUCGUUGUUGUUUUAUAGGCAGAAUUGGAAGUACUAAAUGUGCCAAUUAUGGAUUCUUUUAACAUAAUUUUUUUUAGUUGACAACCUUUCUAAUCACUUAGUAAAUUUGAGUCUCUUGAUAAAUCUAAUGCAACAAUUUUACCUUCCCAACAGUUCAAGAAGACAGCCCAAAGUCAAAAAUUCCAUGAUUCUCAAGUGAAUGUAGUGGUUGAACAUCUUCGGCAUUUUCCAGUACCUUAAUACCAUCCUCACUUGCUGAAACUGCUAGCAUUCUUCCUUCCUUUUUAAAUUGUAAACAAUGAGAAUCCUAACACAGAUAUUAAAUCAAGUGUUCUGUGAACUCUAACAUUAACCUCGAAAUAUAUAACAGUGAACGUGAUGACCAAAGGUAUACAACUUAUCACCAGUGAAUCUGCAAACAGAUAACCAUGAUGUUUGUAAUAGCAAGCAAUAGCCUUAUCCAUCGCGGUGAAGGAAAAUGCCGUAUGAACCAAACCUUAAUUAAGGUUCGUCAAUGGGCCGGGUCGGGCUUUAAAGAGAAGAGAGAAAAUGUCGGGUCGGGUUUUUUUAGAAAGUUCAAGCUCGACUCAUGAGCCGGGCUUGAGAAAUUGGGCUGGGCCGGGCUAAGCCCAAAGGGCCCUACUUCAUUAAAAAAAAAAAAAGGUUUAGGGAUUAAACUCACUUAAUUCUAAUAUUUUCACUUCAAACCAAAGUUUCUAAAACACACAACUUAUAAGAUUUUCCACAAAAAUAAUAAAACUAAGUAUUAUUUUUGAGGUUAUUACAUAAUUAGAUCGUAAUACGUUUUAAGAAAUAAUUUUAAAAAAUGAUAAGUAUUAAAAAAAAACAUUUUUUUAAAGGAUGGUAUGAAUAAAUAUGCAAAUAUUUGGUGAUGUGUUCAAGAAAAGUAUGAUUAUAUUUGGUUUCGUGAUAUGAUUAUAUUUAGUGAUGUGAUAUGUUGUGAAAAUCACAUGUAUAUAAUUGUUGAAUUAAUAAUUGACACAAAUUAAUGUGCUAAUCAUCCAAUUAUAAACUAGGAAUGAGUAAAGGAAAGUAAAUGAAAUGAAACAAAUUAUAUAUGUGAUUUCAGUGAUAUAAUUAUAAACCUAAACUCUUAUUUAUACAUAAUGUGGGCCUAACGGGCUGGGUUUUCUUGGGCUUAAUCGGGCUGGGCCUAUGGGUCGGGCCGGGCUUUAGACACCCAAGCCAAAGGCGGCCGGGCCAUCUCAAAGCCCAUAAUGGUCUGGGGCAGGCGGGCCCACAUCAGCUCAUGAGCCCGCAUGCCAAAUAAUGAGGCCUAACUUUAAUUGUCUUGUCCUCUCCACAAUUUAUGAUGCAUAAUUUUUUGUUUAUGCGAGUGAAAGCAAGAUCACUAAUAUUACUGACAUGAGAAUCUAUCUGGCAGAAUUUCAUUUAGAAAAUCCAAUCAACAUAUAAGUAAUUAUAGUCUUUAAAAACAUGGAUAGUUGUAAACGACCAAGAAACCUUGUUACCCAAAUCAAGUUAAACAAUACUAGCAAUCACAAUUCUAGAAAUCGUAAGAGUCACUAUAUGAAAUUAAAAAGGGAAAAGAGAAAGAACCUCUAGGUGGUGCUCGUUCAGAGGGCUUAGGUCCAAGGAGCGGUCCAUCCAUGAAUGGCAAAAAUGCAUCCCGUAAUAAGGGAAAGGCACAGAUGAGCCAUGUGCCUAGAAAUGUUGAAAGCCCUUGUCACAGAUGUGGUGCAAGGGGACAUUGGAUGCGCGCAUGUCGUACGCCCAGGCAUUUGGCGGAUCUCUAUCAAGCUUCACUUAAGAACAGGAAAGUGGAGAUAAAUUACAUUGAUCAUGCUUCGCCAGCCACAGAUGGCUCAUCAGAAAUAUCACGUAAGCUAAACAAGACGCAUCUAGAUGUUUCUGAUUUUGUUACUGAAAAAGGGAAUGAAGGUUAUGAGUCCGAAUUAGAUUAAAUUCCUUAAUGUACUAUUUGUAUUAGCUGAAGUGUUGUUUAAAUUUCAAUCCAAUAAAAGUGGUAAUGUUGUCUUCUUUAUUAAGUCCGAAUUAGAUUAAAUUCCUUAAUGUACUAUUUGUAUUAGCUGAAGUGUUGUUUAAAUAAAAGUGGUAAUGUUGUUUUCUUUAUAUAUUCCAGCUCAUUUUAUUUAUUUGGUGGCAUGGAUGUAAAUUAUGGAUGCCCUCAAAACAAAGGCUAUGGCAGAGAUAUUUGUCUCGCAGACAGCGCAACUACUCAUACGAUCUUUCAAGAUCGGAAGUAUUUCUCAAAAUUAAUGCUUACAAAAGCAAAGGUAACAACCAUAUCAGGUCCUGCAGAUCUGAUCGAAGGUUCAGGAAUAGCCCAAAUUAUGUUACCGAAUGGAACAAUAUUGUCCAUUCCAGAUGCUUUGUAUUCAUCUAACUCCAGAAGGAAUCUGUUGAGUUUCAAAGAUAUACGUUUGAAUGGCUACCAUGUUGAAACAAAGAAAGAGGAAAACAUGGAAUAUCUUUGUAUUACCUCCAGUGAUACCCAAAAGCGUAUACUGGAAAAGCUUUGUGAGCUCUCAUCAGGGUUGUAUUACACAACCAUACGGACAAUUGAGGCACAUAGUGUCAUGGACCAAGAGUCUACUGACUCAAAUGCUUUUAAGCUUUGGCAUGACAGAUUGGGUCAUCCUGGAUCCACCAUGAUGCGCAGGAUCAUUACCAACUCUAAAGGACAUCCCUUGUUGACUAAACAAAUUAUGUUAUCAAGCGACAUCUUUUGCCAAGCUUGUUCACAAGGGAAGUUGGUGAUCAGACCAUCACAACCAAAGGUUGAUGUUGAGUCUCCAUCAUUUUUGCAGAGAAUUCAAGGGGACAUUUGUGGACCCAUUCAUCCCCCAUGUGGACCAUUUCGGUACUUUAUGGUCUUGGUGGACGCAUCUACCCGAUGGUCACAUGUUUGUCUUUUAUCUACUCGGAAUAUGGCAUUUGCUAGGCUUUUGGCUCAGAUAAUUAAAUUACGAGCCCAAUUCCCAGAUUAUCCCAUUAAGUCAAUCAGACUCGAUAAUGCUGGUGAAUUUACAUCUCAGACUUUUGAUGACUACUGCAUGUCAUUAGGCAUUGAUAUUGAACAUCCUGUUCCCCAUAUGCAUACUCAAAAUGGCUUGGCAGAAGCUUUAAUUAAACGUCUUCAAUUGAUAGCACGCACUUUGCUAAUGAAAACAAAGUUGCCAGUUUCUGCUUGGGGAUAUGCCAUUUUACAUGCAGCAUCGCUUGUGCAAUUGAGGCCAGUCGCCAAUAAUCAAGGUUCUCCAAUACAACUCGUAUUGGGAAAUUAACCAAACAUUUCACAUUUAAGAAUUUUUGGGUGUGCGGUAUAUGUGCCUAUUGCACCAUCGCAACGUACUAAGAUGGGCCCUCAACGCAGAUUGGGAAUUUAUGUUGGUGUUGAUUCACCAUCUAUCAUCAGAUACUUGAAAUCCCUGACGGGUGAUAUUUUUACCGUACGAUUUGCGGAUUGUGAUUUUAAUGAGACAAUCUUCCCACCUUUAGGUGGAGAAAAAUCUGUGUCUAAAGAACAAGGCAAACUCAUUCCUGAAAAACGACAUGAAUUAUCCUGGAAUGUAUCCACAUUGUCUCAUCUCGAUCCUCAUACUGCUCAACGCGAAAACGAAGUGAGAAGGAUCGUUCACCUCCAAAGUAUUGCAAAUCAGAUGCCAGAUGCAUUUAAUGAUGCAGCAAAAGUGACGAAAUCUCAUAUCCCAGCUGCAAAUGCACCCGCACGGAUUGAUGUCCAUAAUGGACAAAGCAAUGUGCCAGCAAAUGGUUCAUCUGCUGCACGCCUAAAACGUGGCAGACCACUAGGCUCAAAGGAUUCAGUUCCUCGAAAGAGGAAGUUGAUGGACAAAAUGAAUCCAAAUGAAAUAAAUAGAGAGCCCACAAUUCAUAAUUCAAAUGCCCCCAAAGAGGUACAGGUACUUCUUGACAAGGAAAACGUCAUUGGUGAAACAAGUGCCCCUGGAGUGGCAACCGUACCUGAAAGUCAAGAAAUCUCCAUAAAUUAUACGUCCACUAAUGAAUUGUGGAGUAGAAAUGAGAUGAUCAUCGAUGAUAUAUUUGCGUUCUCAGUGGCUGCUGAAAUCAUAAAAGAUGAUGAUAUUGAACCGCGCUCUAUUAAUAAAUGUACAUAGAGGCAAGAUUGGCCCAAGUGGAAGGAUGCAAUCUAGGCAGAAUUAAAUUCUUUGGAAAAAAGGAGUGUUUUUGGACAUAUUAGUCCAACUCCACCCAAUGUGAACCCUGUAGGUUACAAGUGGGUAUUUACAAGAAAGCGCAAUGAGAAAAAUGAGAUCUCAAGGUAUAAAGCGCGACUCGUUGCGCAAGGUUUUUCACAAAGGCCUGGAAUUGAUUAUGUGGAAACGUACUCUCCAGUAAUGGACACAAUUACAUUCCGUUACCUAAUAAGUUUGGCGGUUUCCGAAAAACUUGACAUGAGACUCAUGGAUGUCAUUACCGCAUAUUUGUAUGGAGAAUUGGAUACAGAUAUAUACAUGAAAGUUCCAGAAGGAUUCAGGUUGCCUGAAGCUGCCAGAAACAAACCACGGGGCAUGUUCUCGGUUAAAUUGAGAAGAUCAUUAUAUGGGCUAAAACAAUCUGGACGAAUGUGGUACAAUCGUCUCAGUAAGUAUUUACUGAAGGAAGGAUACACAAAUGAUCCUGUUUGCCCAUGUGUGUUUAUUAAGAAAUCAAAGUCUGGAUUUGCGAUAGUGGCAGUAUAUGUCGACGACAUGAAUCUAAUUGGAACUUCUGCAGAGCUUCAAAAGACUGUUGAUUAUCUCAAACGUGAGUUUGAGAUGAAGGAUCUUGGAAAGACAAAAUAUUGUCUUGGCUUGCAGAUUGAGCACAGUGCUAAUGGAAUUUUGGUGCAUCAAUCAACUUAUACUGAGAAAGUAUUGAAAUGGUUUGGCAUGGAUAAAGCCCAUCCACUUAGCACUCCAAUGGUCGUUCGAUCGCUUGACACUAAGAAAGACCCAUAUCGUCCAAAAGGGAAUGAUGAAAUGGUCCUUGGUCCAGAAGUACCAUAUCUUAGUGCAAUAGGAGCUUUAUUGUACCUAGCACAAUGUACCAGACCAGACAUAUCAUUCUCAGUAAAUCUGUUAGCAAGGUACAGUUCUGCUCCAACAAGGCGACACUGGACCGGCAUCAAACAUGUUCUACGAUACCUUCGUGGGACAACAGACAUGGGGUUAUUCUAUUCCAGUGAAUCAACCAACGCCCAGAGUAUUAUUGGUUAUGCUGAUGCAGGAUAUCUCUCUGAUCCACAUCAAGGACGAUCACAGACUGGGUAUGUAUUUACAUGUGGAGGAACUGCGAUCUCAUGGCGCUCAACAAAACAAACAUUAGUGGCCACAUCUUCCAAUCACUCAGAAAUACUUGCCCUCCAUGAAGCCAGUCGUGAAUGCGUUUGGUUAAGAUCGGUAAUCCAUCACAUCCGAAGCACAUGUGCCCUACCCUCAACAACAGACACUCCAACAAUUCGGAAUGAGGACAAUGCAGCUUGUAUUGCUCAGAUCACAGGAGGAUAUAUCAAGGGUGACAGGACCAAACACAUAUCACCAAAGUUUUUCUAUACACAUGAGCUCCAGAAUAGUCAAGAAAUCAAAGUCAGACAAAUCCGCUCAAGUGAUAACCUGGCAGAUCUCUUCACUAAAUCAUUGCCGAAAUAUACAUUCCAAAAGUUAGUACAUGACAUCGGAUUACGACAACUCUGCAAGCAAUCAAGUUGGAGCAUGCAAAAUCAAGGGGAGCAUUCAAGAGUCCUCUAACAUAGGACAUAUGCACGUUGUACUCUUUUUCCUUCGCUUAGAUUUUCCCACUGGGUUUUUCCAAGCAAGGUUUUAAUGAGGCAACCAAUCUAGGGACAUGUGGUCUCUAAGGGGGAGUGUUAUAAAAGUCUUGGAGUGGAGCCCACUAACUAUUCAUUACUGUUCAUUUGGCGGCUUUGAUAGAGUUUGUCUGUCACGGGUGAACAGUAAUGAAUAGUGAUGAAUAGUGAUUAUUUUAGCCUAUAAAUAAGAAGAGAAACGGAAAGAAGAAGAAGAAGAAAAAAAAGAGAAUGAAAGAAAAGAGAGAAGAGAAAGCAGAGAGAAAUUCUCCUAGAGAGAAAAUUCAGUGAGCCACAUAUGUUGUAAACACUAAAGUUGUAGCCAUAUUAUUUUAUAGUGAAAGGUUACUGCUGCUGCUCUCCGAGGACGUAGGCAUAGCCGAACCUCGUUAAAAGCUGUGUCUUAUCUAUUUUACGUGCAGCUCAAUAUCCGCAUAUAUUCCAGGUUAUUUCAUAACAACAAAGUAAAUAUUAUCUGAUGUUUCGCUGGAAAACUAGUACUUUUUACUACUCACAUGUUAUUUGAACAUUUCCUAGCAAUACAGCACUAUCAGUAAUAAAUUCAUAAGCAUAAAGAAAAUAUUGAAAGAAAUUAAAUAAGCCAGAUAAUAAGAAACCAUACAAGCAUUCUUCGGAACUGUUAGACUAAUCAGUCCAACUGAAACUGUUUGGUGUGGACCACAAGACUGGUUAGCCGUCCCUUAGUGACAGAUGCCGUAAAAGGUGCUGGCGGAGGCUGAACUAGCGGAAAAUGAAAUAUAUUAAAUAAACAUACAAAUAAAAAUUUCUAAAGAAAACUACUUCCUGAUACAGAGACACCUAAUUUAGGAAGCAAUCGUCAAGUUUCGGAUACCGGUGUGGCACCUACCGAAGGCUCUCCGAUACUUAAGUCAACAAGAGUAGGUUAUGUAGUAAUUUUAGUAAAGUAACAGUAAAGGUGAAAAGUAAUUACCUUUUUACUUGGGCACUAUUCCUCUUUUAUAGAGAAUUGAAAGUGAGAGUUUACACAAAGUUUUGAUGUGGAACUUUGUCCAAAAUCGUUGUAGUGGUGACACGUGUCCAUGGUUCUAGGCUCUGUAACUGAGAGCUUCGGCAGGCUUCGGGUCUAUCUUCGUGCUGGUCCUUCAGUGCCAAAUGUACUUAGUUGAUUAUGGUAUAAACAAUAGUCACCCAACUUUUGUGAUCAAGAAGUGGCUUUUGGGUUGGAAAAUCAAAUCGAGUAUUUUUGGUCUAGCAAGCGCCGUAGGGCGUUCCCCAAUCCCCCAAGUUUGCAAGCUAGAAGUUGCGUCAACCAUGGGGGUAACUUGGUGAAGCUGCUGAGUUGGCCUUUGUUGGGUAGGCGAAGAAGCGAUCCACAGUAGACUAGUUAGUGGCACAUCUAAGUCUUUACUAGAACAAAGUACUUCUACAUAUGGGCUAGCACAAUGUUGGAAUUCUAUUCGGCAAAUAAAAAGUUUUGCAUCAUGCAAAAGCUGCCUCAAUAUAGCUAGCUUAGAGCUUCGCAAGCGCUGCCCUCACAGUUGAGGAGCCACAAUUUUGAUUGACCUAUCACAAUAUUAUUAUUCACCAUGCUCCCUACUCAGUAAAACAUCUUAAAACCUGUAAAUAACAAUAGAAUUUUAGAAACAUUUCAAAUUCCUAUUUGGGAGUGCUGUAUGAACAUUAUAUAAAAAUAAAAACAUUAAUUCAGAUAUGAAUAAACCAAGUAUACCAUUCCUUUGAAUUGCAAAUAGAGAAGGAAACAUAUCCUGCAAUGAAAUUAUCUUAAAAAAGGACUUCUAUGAAACCAAAAAACAAAAAAAAAGUAUAUUAAGAAAAGACAAUAGGAAGCAAGGGAAAGGGUUUUCAGGGCAAGAAAAGAUUUUGGCAUACAAGCAGACAAGGAAAAAUUUCAAUAGAAGCAAACCUUCCCACAUUCAGAUCUUAGCUUUGUAUCAAUAAUGUUCAUGCCCAUUUUACUCUUGUAAGCAGCAACUAAUCGUCUUAUGUGUGCUUCUUUAGCAGCUUUUUCUUCAGCUGUUACUAGCACUUCCCCCGUGCGUAUAACUCUUCCACCAUCAAACUGAACAUCAAUCACAUUUUCAAUCCCCUUCCCCUAAGACCAUCUCCAACCCAAGGGGUGGAAACUCAAAUUUUGAGUUUAGCCUCCAAAAAACUUCUCCAACCCAUGUAUUUUGGGAGGUGAAAAUUUGAGAUGACUCAAAACUGGACUGGAAUUCCAGUUAGAAUUCUGCCUAGACUGAUAAACUCGUGGCGCCCAAAUCUGCUUUAAUAUAUAUAUAUAUAUAUAUUUUAUUGAAUGCUAGGAGAAGCCCACGUGAUGGGCUAUGUUGCUGGCCCGCUUUGACAAGUGGGAAUGAAGAUUCCCUUUCCUUUAUUGAGAAGCAAUGGCUACUUUUUCAAAUGUUUUGUUAUGCUGUUUUUAAACAUAUAUAUAUAUAUAUUUUUUCCAACAGCUAUAAAAUCAAAUAAUCUGAUUCAUUUUAAGCAAUCUCAACGGUAAAAUUUCACAUUCAACGGCUCAAAUUUAAAUCCAAUGAUCAAAUUAAUAUUUAUAAUUAAUCUAAGUCAGAUCCAACCCCAAAACUUAAUCCAAACUCUAUAAAUAGCCAUUCAUUUGGUAAAUAAUCCACCAAAAAUCAUUUUUUUCCUCCCUUUAUUAUAAUUUUUCAUUCUACAUUCAUCAUUGGUGAGAAUGGCCCCAAAACCCCAAAGAAGUGUGAAUUGGAAACCACAAGAAGAUGAGGCAUUGUGUAGAGGGUGGGUUUCUGUCUCUGAAGAUGGGGCUAUUGGCACGAAUCAAUCAAACGAUUCAUUUUGGUUGCGUGUGUACCAAAAAUUUUUGGAAAAUGAUCCAGGCAUGAGCGGAGCCGACGAUCACCACAAGCUAUUGCUUCUCGGUUCAAGAUCAACCAACAAUGUUCUCUUUGGAAGGCAUGUAUAACAAAGGCCAAUGCAAGACAUGCUCCAAUCUUGAAGAUGUGGUGAGUACCCAUUUUUUUCAAUGCUUAAAUUUAUAAUUUUAAUUGUUUUCAAUUAUUAACUUGAUUUUUAUUUUAUUUCAUGAGUAGGAUAUGACUGCAAAAACAUUUUUCUUGAAUGAUAAUAAACCUCUAAAUAGGCCUUUCAAGUUGUAUCAUGCUUGGCAAAUCUUAAAAGACUGCCCAAAAUGGAAUGACCUAUGUGAAUCUCCCACACAAACAUUCAAAGAUUCUUCUCAUAGUGGCAAUACAGUCAACUUGGAGGAAGAUGAAGAUGAUGCGGUCAUGCCCACUCCAAGGCCAUUGGGAAGGGAUAAACAGAAGGAUGAAAAAAAGAAAGGGAAAUGUGUUGAAAGUUAUCUCAACCAAAGUGGUAAGUUCUUGUAUGAAUUGAUUCAACAAGGAAAUGAGGCAAAAGAGGAUAGGCGGCGAAAGUUAGAGCUCCUACAAGAGCAACAUGCAUAUCAAAUCCAACAAGAUAAGGAGGCCAAUGAACGGAGGAUAAUGUCCAUGGACCUAUCCAAAUUUACUCCAAGAAAGAAAAAGUAUUGGGGGAAUAAGCAAGACGAAAUUAUUGAGGCCCAGAUGAAUACAAGUUCCCCCGACAAUCCAGAAGACAACUCUGGAAACUAUUAUCCAAGCCCUCCACAUAGUGAUUAUUAAUUUACGAUUAUUUGUAAUUGUUGUUUAUCUUUAUUUAUAAUUGUCGUUUAUCUUUAUUUCUAAUUGUUGUUUAGCUUUAUUUUUAAUUAUCGUUUAUCUUUAUUUGUAAUUGUUGUUUAUCUUUAUAUAUAAUUAUCGUUAUCUUUUUUUUUUUUUUUAUGAUUGUCGUUUAUUUUUCUAUGAUUAGUUUUUUUUUUUAAAUUCAAUGAUAAGCCAUAUAAUUCAUUAAAAUCACACAACCACUUUUAUAAUUUAUACACACUUUCAUAAUUUAAACACACAGCAUAAUUUAAACACACUUACAUAAUUUAAACACACAACAUAGCUCAUUGCCCCUCUCCUUCGCAUCUCCAAAUGUGGUUGAUCAAAUCAUUUAUUAAAUUGUGAUGCACUUGUGAAGCACGAACUCUAUUAUGAUGGACCAUGUAGUCUGAGAUAGUUUGUCUAUCUCAGUUUAUAUCGUACGUGAUAGUCGGAGUCUUGGUCUUGCUCUUCUAGAUGUUCAUGGACAAUUGUCUUCAUCAUCAGAUUCUGCAUCUAGAUCCUCAUACUCAUCCUCAACAAUCAUGUUGUGCAAUAUUAUGCACGUCAGGAUUGAAUGAAGUUGUUCUUUGCGCCACAUACAUGCAGGUCCCCUAACAAUUGCCCAUUGAGCCUGAAGUAUUCCGAAGGCUCUUUCGACAUCCUUCCUAUAAGCCUCUUGUUUUGGGGCAAAUAGUCUUUUUUUUGGAGUAUCCGGUUGGGAAAUCAUCUUAACCAAUGUAGCCCAACGAGGGUAGAUACCAUUAGCCAAGUAAUAACCCAGAUUAUAUUCAUUUCCAUUAACAACAUAUUGGAUAUGGGGAUACACUCCAUUCACUACAUCAUUGAACAACGGGGAACGAGCUAGAACGUUUAUAUCGUUGUUCGAUCUAGCAACGCCAAAAAAGGCAUGCCAUAUCCAAGUGUCAUAUGAGGCCACUGCUUCUAGAACGACAAUUGGCUUAUGCUUGUAGCCAGUAAACUGGCCUGCCCAAGUAGUGGGGCAGUUCUUCCAUUCCCAAUGCAUGCAGUCAAGACUGCUUAACAUGCCUGGGAAUCCUCUGCGACUAGCCUUGUGUAAGAGCCUGUAAAGAUCGGCCAGAUUUGGAGAAUGGAGGUACCACUGACCAUACACAGCUUUAAUAACAGAAUAAAACUUUCGCAAACAUUCAAGGGAUGUAGAUUCACCAAUCUACAGUACUAAGCGGUGGAGUCUGCCGAGCAUCUAUAUGCGAGUAUUUGAAAAAUAGCUGUUAGCUUCUGCUCUGGGGAUAGACUUUGUCAUCCACAAGCGUCUAUCUUUUGGGUAAAGUAUGGCUUAUGUGCAACAACAUCCUUCAAGAUGGGAUAGAAAAGCUCUCUUCUCAUGCUGAACCGCCUGGGAAAGUCCACUGGGGGAUAAAGUGGCUUUCACAGAAGUAGUCCUCCAUGAGACUCUUAUGAUGUUUUUCUCUCUUCUGAUUCUUGUAUUCAUGGCCUGCAACAGAACCACCAUGUUUGGAUUGUUGAGCAUAUUGCUCCAGUAAAAACGUAUGGUGUUGAACAGCCAUUGCAACCCUCUGUUAAUGAAGGUCAUCAUCAUCAGAAUCAUCAUUGAAGAAAUUUUGUAUAGCCUUCCCACGUGAAUUCAUUGUAACAAGGCGAAUUGAAGCAGAUCUUGUGGUCAAUUUAGUAGAAUAACACUUCUUAAAUAGACAAGAGAAUGAGAUGACCUACAUGUUUGAAAAUAAUUGAAUGAAGAUAGGAAAAGAUAGAGAAAGAUAAGGGAAUCCAAUAAAGUGAGAUGAGCAAAGAUGAGCAAUGGUUCAUAACGUGAUUGAAACAAGACAAGAUGGGAAAUGGUUCAAAAAAUAAUUGAAUGAAGAUAGGAAAAGAUAGGGAAAGAUAAGGAAAUCCAAUAAAGUAAGAUGGACAAAGUUGAGCAAUGGUUCAGAACAUGAUUGAAACAAGAUAAUAGGGGAUGGGAAAGAGUUCAGAAAAUAAUUGAAGAACACAAGUGGAGGUGGGCAAAUGUUCAAAACAUUAUUGAAUGAGGAUAAAGGAAUCCAAUGAAGUAAAAGUAAAAGUAAAAAUGGAAGAAAAUUAUGGCAAUGGCUUCAAUGAAGGGUUUGAAUUAUUCUGGGCAUACGUAUGGUGUUGUACUUGUUUUUAUUUUUAAGUGAAAUUCUAUUACGUUUUGGAAUUUUAAUUUUUUUAGGUUAAAAUGUUUAGAAAAUUAAAUCACGAGUAUUGAAAUAAAAAUAAUGUCAAGAAAAAACAAUUAGGGGUUAAUCAUUCUUAAACAAUUUAAUAAAGUUGCAAACUUAAAUUAUGAGUCUGCAAGGUUGGAGGAAAAAAAAAAUUUUGAGUCCUGAAAAUACAUGAAUAGUUGUAUUUUGGAGGGUGAAAAUUUUAAUUUAGCCCCAACAUGGUUGGAGAUGGUCUAAAUACAGAAAUACAGCAGCUGUAUCACUAUCGCAUUAAUAUUUCCAAUUAAAAAUUUUCACUAUAUAAAUGGUCAUCUCACAAUACAAAGUUUAUUAUAAUUGUUCACCCGUUUUGAUUUAAUCCUGUCAUGGUAGGGUAAAGUUCCCCAUUGGCUUGAAAACCUUGGUGGUUAACAAGUCAACUUUCUUUGGCGUGCAAGUGUGCCACUGUUAGUUAAAAUUCUAACAAACUUUAUGAAAAAAUAGAUAACUUGCGGCCCAAGUUACUGACUUUAAAUAAGUGAUUGUGAAUUUGGGUGAGGAAUAUCUCCCAAGCAAGUUCUUUUUUUGCCUUAGACUGGUGAGGACUUUACAAUCUAUCACAGUAAACUGGUAGUUCUAGUCAAAAUGAAUAUUGAAAAGAUAGAUCAAACUGUUCCUAAGGAAAAACUGCAUAUUACAGAACUUUUAAGACAAGAGGGGACUGCCAUGUCUAAAAGGUCAACAAAACACUGGACUUCGAUUUCUGCUUGGAUAGCUGUCUAUAAUUCUAGCUGGAUUGGAUGUAUCUAUGCUGGAUUCAAACGUCAACACCUUCAAAUGAUGAGGCUUAGCUAGAAAUCGAUACCAAUUGGGGCAGAGCUUUAAUCUAUUCUAGCCAUGAAGAGACUUGCUGGAUGGGCAGAACUGAGAUUUCUUCAGUCUGGACGGGGCUAGAUUGAUGAUUACUGGCCUGGAACUACACUACAACACUUGUUCUACUUGAUUAUGAGUCAUCCAAGAGCUAUUCUAGCAAUUCUGAGAGCUCAAGACAUCUUUGUAAAUUUGUUGAGGUUUUCAUAUUAUGAAAAACCCGAAUUCUGCUUGAUUUGGCUUGUACUGAACUAAAUUUGUAAUGAGAGAGAGCUCGUUUCCUUUGUAAACCACUUCUCUGAAUUGAACUGAAGUCAGAAACUUGAGUUCUGGCUGGUCUGUCUUUUGUGAAUCAAAGAGUUUGGUUGAUUCAGGGCCUGAAGGCCUUUGAGAUCAACUAAUCUUGUUUUGAAUUUGUCAAUGUGACUUUGAGAGUUUUUGUUUUGAUUGAAAUUUUUUGGCCCUUAAUCCGGUUCACCUCCUCUCAUUUUUAUAGAGACUCUGAAUGAGGGUCUAUUCUUUAAUAUCUGGGGGCAGAUAUUUUGGAAAUGAUUUUUUUUUUUCUUUUCCAAUGCAAAGAAUCAGGAAGUUAUUAAUCUGCUAUGAUGGUCCAUUUGCUUUUUCUAAAAAACCAACUCUCUUAUUUUCUGCUUAUCUCUUGCAAAACAUAACCUACUAUGAUGGUCUAUUUGCUUUUUCUAGAAAACCAACUCUCCUGUUCUCUGUUUAUCUCUUGUAAAACAUAUGGCACUUCUUCAAAUAUCCGUUUAAAAGUGAAAGCCCCUAUUCAUGCUUAAUUUUAUAUGCAUGUAUCAAGCACGUUAAUGUAACACUAACUGUGACAUUAACUGUCACACCGUUUUUGAAGAAACUUUUGGCUUGUAAAGAUCUGAGUUGUCUCCUUGAGUCUGCUCUGGCUUCCGUGCCACUGCAUCAAAAUUUCAAGCGUCCCCCGACUAUAAUCUCAACAUCAGGUGAGUCCCCUUCUGGAAAAUAGUCUGCCAUUGGAAUCCACAGUCCUCUAUACUCCUUAACCGCAGAGCCAAGUCCCACAAAAUCAAUACUUGAAACUGACGAUUUUCCCUUCUUGUCUACUAUCUCAUUCCCCAAGUUUCCCCCAGUACUUUCCUCCAAACCUAUAAGACAAUACAAAUACAAAUUUUACCCCACAUUUUAAGUUACAUAAUUCAUUCUUGAGAAGAAAUCCGAUAGUAUUUUGUGUUUGCUAUCACCUUUAGAAAACUCUAGUGCAUUGCUCAGAAAAAUAAUGGAAAAGCAAACUUAGAAAAAACAUAAAUCAAAUUAAUAACUUAUAGAUUAUUAAACCUUCUACCAUUGAUGAAGAAGCAAAUAAACAAACACCUAAAUUUAUGUAAGUCUACGGCAAGUACCUGUUUCACUUCAAUAGAACAUGGAAACUGUCACUCUUCAGCUCUAAUUUCAAAUCUUCUUUUUUCUUUUUCCUUUUUUUUUCUCUUUUCAAAAUUACCUGAAAUUUUGUGCCAUUACUCUUGUUGAUGCCCAAAAUCGGAGGACAUCUUAGGUGGAAGUAGUGUCAAGUGUUCAACAUAACAAGAGGGUUGUGGACCUUCGGCAAGGAGAGAUCCCACGAAAGAAAUAGGGAGGAAGCAAUCAUCAAGUUUCGGAUACCACUGUGGUACCUACCGAAGGCUCUCCGAUACUUAAGUCAACAAGAGUAGGUUAUGUAGUAAUUUUAGUAAAGUAACAGUAAAGGUGAAAAGUAAUUACCUUUUUUACUUGGGCACUAUUCCUCUUUUAUAGAGAAUUGAAAGUGAGAGUUUACACAAAGUUUUGACGUGGAACUUUGUCCAAAUCGUUGUAGUGGUGACGCGUGUCCAUGGUUCUAGGCUCUAUAACUGAGAGCUUCGGCAGGCUUCGGGUCUAUCUUCGUGCUGGUCCUUUAGUGCCAAAUGUGCUUAGUAUGGUAUAAACAAUAGUGCCUCAACUUUUGCGAUCAAGAAGUGGCUUUUGGGUUGGAUAAUCAAAUCGAGUAUUUUUGGUCUAGCAAGCGCCGUAGGGCGUUCCCCAAUCCCCCAAGUUUGCAAGCUAGAAGUUGCGUCGACCAUGGGGGUAACUUGGUGAAGCUGUUGAGUUGGCGUUUGUUGGGUAGGCGAACAAGCGAUCCACAGGAGACUAGUUAGUGGCACAUCUAAGUCUUUAAUAGAACAAAGUACUUCUACAUAUGGGCUAGCACAAUGUUGGAAUUCUAUUCGGCAAAUAAAAAGUUUUGCAUCAUGCAAAACCUGCCCCAAUAUAGCUAGCUUAGAGCUUCGCAAGCGCUGCCCUCACAGUUGAGGAGCCACAAUUUUGAUUGACCUAUCACAAUAUUAUUAUUCACCAUGCUCCCUACUCAGUAAAGCAUCUUAAAACCUGCAAAUAACAAUAGAAUUUUAGAAACAUUUCAAAUUCCUAUUUGGGAGUGCUGUAUGAGCAUUAUAUAAAAAUAAAAAAAACAUUAAUUCAGAUAUGAAUAAACCAAGUAUACCAUUCCUUUGAAUUGCAAAUAGAGAAGGAAACGUAUCCUGCAAUGACAUUAUCUUAAAAAAGGAAUUCUAUGAAACCAAAAAACAAAAACAAAAGUAUAUUAAGAAAAGACAAUAGGGCAAGGGAAAGGGUUUUCAGGGCAAGAAAAGAUUUUGGCAUACAAGCAGACAAGGAAAAAUUUCAAUAGAAGCAAACCUUCCCACAUUCAGAUCUUAGCUUUAUAUCAAUGUUCAUGCCCAUUUUACUCUUGUAAGCAGCAACUAAUCGUCUUAUGUGUGCUUCUUUAGCAGCUUUUUCUUCAGCUGUUACUAGCACUUCCCCCGGGCGUAUAACUCUUCCACCACCAAACUGAACAUCAAUCACAUUUUCAAUCCCCUUCCCCUAAGACCAUCUCCAACCCAAGGGGUGGAAACUCAAAUUUUGAGUUUAGCCUCCAAAAAACUUCUCCAACCCAUGUAUUUUGGGAGGUGAAAAUUUGAGAUGACUCAAAACUGGACUGGAAUUCCAGUCAGAAUUCUGCCUAGACUGAUAAACUUGUGGCGCCUAAAUCUGCUUUAAUAUAUAUUUUUUUUUUGAAUGCUAGGAGAAGCCCACGUGAUGGGCUAUGUUGCUGGCCCGCUUUGACAAGUGGGAAUGAAGAUUCCCUUUCCUUUAUUGAGAAGCAAUGACUACUUUUUCAAAUGUUUUGUUAUGCUGUUUAAAAAUAUAUAUAUAUUCCAACAGCUAUAAAAUCAACGAUUCUGAUUCAUUUUAAGCAAUCUCAACAGUAAAAUUUCAUAUCCGACGGCUCAAAUUUAAAUCCAAUGGUCAAAUUAAUAUUUAUAAUUAAUCUAAGUCAAAUUAAUAUUUAUAAUUAAUCUAAGUCAGAUCCAACCCCAAAACUUAAUCCAAACUCUAUAAAUAGCCAUUCAUUUGGUAAAUAAUCCACCAAAAUCAUUUUUUUCCUCCCUUUAUUAUAAUUUUUCAUUCUACAUUCAUUAUUGUUGAGAAUGGCCCCAAAACCCCAAAGAAGUGUGAAUUGGAAACCACAAGAAAAUGAGGCAUUGUGUAGAGGGUGGGUUUCUGUCUCUGAAGAUGGGGCUAUUGGCACGAAUCAAUCAAACGAUUCAUUUUGGUUGCGUGUGUACCAAAAAUUUUUGGAAAAUGAUUCGGGCAUGAGCGGAGCCGGGGUACGAUCACCGCAACCUAUUGCUUCUCCGUUCAAGAUCAUCAACCAACAAUGUUCUCUUUGGAAGGCAUGUAUAACAAAGGCCAAUGCAAGGCAUGUGAGUGGCUCCAAUCUUGAAGAUGUGGCGAGUACCCAUUUUUUUCAAUGCUUAAAUUUAUAAUUUUAAUUGUUUUCAAUUAUUAACUUGAUUUUUUUUUUUUAUUUCAUGAGUAGGAUAUGAAUGCAAAAACACUUUUCUUGAAUGAUAAUAAACCUCUAAAUAGGCCUUUCAAGUUGUAUCAUGCUUGGCAAAUCUUAAAAGAUUGCCCAAAAUGGAACGACCUAUGUGAAUCUCCCACACAAACAUUCAAAGAUUCUUCUCAUAGUGGCAAUACAGUCAACUUGGAGGAAGAUGAAGAUGAUGUGGUCAUGCCCACUCCAAGGCCAUUGGGAAGAGAUAAACAGAAGGAUGAAAAAAAGAAAGGGAAAUGUGUUGAAAGUUAUCUCAACCAAAGUGGUAAGUUCUUGUCUGAAUUGAUUCAACAAGGAAAUGAGGCAAAAGAGGAUAGGCGGCGAAAGUUAGAGCUCCUACAAGAGCAACAUGCAUAUCAAAUCCAACAAGAUAAGGAGGCCAAUGAACGAAGGAUAAUGUCCAUGGACCUAUCCAAAUUUACUCCAAGAAAGAAGAAGUAUUGGGGAAUAAGCAAGACGAAAUUAUUGAGGCCCAGAUGAAUACAAGUUCCCCCUACAAUCCAGAAGACAACUCUGGAGACUAUUAUCCAAGCCCUCCACAUAGUGGUUAUUAAUUUACGAUUAUUUGUAAUUGUUGUUUAUCUUUAUUUAUAAUUGUCAUUUAUCUUUAUUUCUAAUUGUUGUUUAGCUUUAUUUUUAAUUAUCGUUUAUCUUUAUUUGUAAUUGUUGUUUAUCUUUAUAUAUAAUUAUCGGUAUCUUUUUUAAUUUUAUUUUAUGAUUGUUGUUUAUUUUUCUAUGAUUAGUUUUUUUAAUUAUAAAUUCAAUGAUAAACCAUAUAAUUCAUUAAAAUCACACAACCACUUUUAUAAUUUAUACACACUUUCAUAAUUUAAACACACAGCAUAAUUUAAACACGCUUAUAUAAUUUAAACACACUUACAUAAUUUAAACACACAACAUAGCUCAUUGCCCCUCUCCUUCGCAUCUCCAAAUGUGGUUGAUCAAAUCAUUUCUUAGAUUGUGACGCACUUGUGAAGCACGAACUCUAUUAUGAUGGACCAUGUAGUCUGAGAUAGUUUGUCUAUCUCAGUUUAUAUCGUACGUGAUAGUUGGAGUCUUGGUCUUGCUCUUCUAGAUGUUCAUGGACAAUUGUCUUCAUCAUCAGAUUCUGCAUCUAGAUCCUCAUACUCAUCCUCAACAAUCAUGUUGUGCAAUAUUAUGCACAUCAUCAUGAUUGAAUGAAGUUGUUCUUUGCGCCACAUACAUGCAGGUCCCCUAACAAUUGCCCAUUGAGCCUGAAGUAUUCCGAAGGCUCUUUCGACAUCCUUCCUAUAAGCCUCUUGUUUUUGGGCAAAUAGUCUUUUUUUUGGAGUAUCCGGUUGGGAAAUCAUCUUAACCAAUGUAGCCCAACGAGGAUAGAUACCAUCAGCCAAGUAAUAACCCAGAUUAUAUUCAUUUCCAUUGACAACAUAUUGGAUAUGGGGAGACACUCCAUUCACUACAUCAUUGAACAACGGAGAACAAGCAAGAACGUUUAUAUCGUUGUUCGAUCUGGCAAUGCCAAAAAAGGCAUGCCAUAUCCAAGUGUCAUACGAGGCCACUUCUUCUAGAACGACAGUUGGCUUAUGCUCGUAGCCAGUAAACUGGCCUGCCCAAGUAGUGGGGCAGUUCUUCCAUUCCCAAUGCAUGCAGUCAAGACUGCUUAACAUGCCUGGGAAUCCUCUGCGACUAGCCUUGUGUAAGAGCCUGUAAAGAUCGGCCGAAUUUGGGGAAUGGAGGUACCACUGACCAUACACAGCUUCAAUAACAGAAUAAAACUUUCGCAAACAUUCAAGGGAUGUAGAUUCACAAAUCUACAGUACUAAGCGGUGGAGUCUGCCGAGCAUCCAUAUGCGAGCAUUCGAAAAAUAGCUGUUAGCUUCUGCUCUGGGGACAGACUUUGUCGUCCACAAGCGUCUAUCUUCUGGGUAAAGUAUGGCUCAUGUGCAACAACAUCAUUCAAGAUGCGAUAGAAAAGCUCUCUUCUCAUGCUGAACCGCCUGCGAAAGUCCACUGAGGGAUAAAGUGGCUUUCACAGAAGUAGUCCUCCAUGAGACUCUUAUGAUGUUUUUCUCUCUUUUGAUUCUUGUAUUCACGGCCUGCAACAGAACCACCAUGUUUGGAUUGUUGAGCAUAUUGCUCCAGUAAAAAUGUAUGGUGUUGAAUAGCCAUUGCAACCCUCUGUUGAUGAAGGUCAUCAUCAUCAGAAUCAUCAUUGAAGAAAUUUUGUAUAGCCUUCCCACGUGAAUUCAUUGUAAGAAGGAGAAUUGAAGCAGAUCUUGUGGUCAAUUUAGUAGAAUAACACUUCUUAAAUAGACAAGAGAAUGAGAUGACCUACAUGUUUGAAAAUAAUUGAAUGAAGAUAGGAAAAGAUAGAGAAAGAUAAGGGAAUCCAAUAAAGUGAGAUGAACAAAGAUGAGCAAUGGUUCAUAACGUGAUUGAAACAAGACAAGAUGGGAAAUGGUUCAAAAAAUAAUUGAAUGAAGAUAGGAAAAGAUAGGGAAAGAUAAGGAAAUCCAAUAAAGUAAGAUGAACAAAGUUGAGCAAUGGUUCAGAACAUGAUUGAAACAAGAUAAUAGGGGAUGGGAAAGAGUUCAGAAAAUUAUUGAAGAACAUAAGUGGAGGUGGGCAAAAGUUCAAAACAUUUUUGAAUGAGAAUAAAGGAAUCCAAUGAAGUAAAAGUAAAAGUAAAAAUGGAAGAAAAUUAUGGCAAUGGCUUCAAUGAAGGGUUUGAAUUAUUCUGGGCAUACGUAUGGUGUUGUACUUGUUUUUAUUUUUAAGUGAAAUUCUAUUACAUUUUGGAAUUUUAAUUUUUUUAGGUUAAAAUGUUUAGAAAAUUAAAUCACGAGUAUUGAAACAAAAAUAAUGUCAAGAAAAAUUAACAAGAAAAAAAAAAUUAGGGGCUAAUCAUUCUGAAACAAUUUAAUAAAGUUGCAGACUCAAAUUAUGAGUCUGCAAGGUUGGAGGAAAAAAAAAAAUUUGAGUCCUGAAAAUACAUGUAUAGCUGUAUUUUGGAGGGUGAAAAUUUGAGUAUAGCUGUAUCACUAUCGCAGUAAUAUUUCCAAUUAAAAAAUUUCACUCUAUAAAUGGUCAUCUCACAGUACAAAGUUUAUUAUAAUUGUUCACCCGUUUUGAUUUAAUCCUGUCAUGGUAGGGUAAAGUUCCCCAUUGGCUUGAAAACCUUGGUGGUUAACAAGUCAACUUUCUUUGGCGUGCAAGUGUGCCACUGUUAGUUAAAAUUCUAACAAACUUUAUGAAAAAAUAGAUAACUUGCGCCCCAAGUUACUGACUUUAAACAAGUGAUUGUGAAUUUGGGUGAGGAAUAUCUCUCAAGCAAGUUCUUUUUUUGCCUUAGACUAGUGAGGACUUUACAAUCUAUCACAGUAAACUGGUAGUUCUAGCCAAAAUGAAUAUUGAAAGAUAGAUCAAACUGUUUCUAAGGAAAAACUGCAUAUUACAGAACUUUUAAGACAAAAGAGGACUGCCAUGUUUGAAAGGUCAACAAAACACUGGACUUCGAUUUCUGCUUGGAUAGCUGUCUGUAAUUCUAGCUGGAUUGGAUGUAUCUAUGUUGGAUUCAAACGUCAACACCUUCAAAUGAUGAGGCUUAGCUGGAAAUCGAUACCAAUUGGGGCAGAGCUUUAAUCUAUUCUAGCCAUGAAGAGACUUGCUGGAUGGGCAGAACUGAGAUUUCUUCAGUCUGGACGGGGCUAGAUUGAUGAUUACUGGCCUGGAACUACACUACAACACUUGUUCUGCUUGAUUAUGAGUCAUCCAAGAGCUAUUCUAGCAAUUCUGAGAGCUCAAGACAUCUUUGUAAAUUUGUUGAGGUUUUCAUAUUAUGAAAAACCCGAAUUCUGCUUGAUUUGGCUUGUACUGAACCAAAUUUGUAAUGAGAGAGAGCUCGUUUCCUUUGUAAACCGUUUCUCUGAAUUGAACUGAAGUCAGAAACUUGAGUUCUGGCUAGUCUGUCUUUUGUGAAUCAAAGAGUUUGGUUGCUUCAGGGCCUGAAGGCCUUUGAGAUCAACUAAUCUUGUUUUGAAUUUGUCAAUGUGACCUUGAGAGUUUUUGUUUUGAUUGAAAUUUUUUGGCCCUUAAUCCGGUUCACCUCCUCUCAUUUUUAUAGAGACUCUGAAUGAGGGUCUAUUCUUUAAUAUCUGGGGGCAGAUAUUUUGGAAAUGAUUUUUUUUUUCUUUUCCAAUGCAAAGAAUCGGGAAGUUUUUAAUCUGCUAUGAUGGUCCAUUUGCUUUUUCUGAAAAACCAACUCUUUUGUUUUAUGCUUAUCUCUUGCAAAACAUAACCUACUAUGAUGGUCUAUUUGCUUUUUCUAGAAAACCAACUCUCCUGUUCUCUGUUUAUCUCUUGUAAAACAUAACCUGCUAACAGGACCCGACCCAAAUUCCACUUUGGAAUCCGAGCCAGACCCUAUGCGUGUCUGACACCUGGCGGAUGUCAGGCACGAAUGACCUAAUUGCCCAACAAAGCCCGAUAAAAUAACAAGGUUGACUCCUACCGAAAAAUCGGCAGAGUCUCCCUUGUAACUGGAUCAAUACCCAAAAACCUACACCUGCCAAACAAGCAUAUAUACACAACCAACUGCCAGCAUACGUAUAUAUACAUUCCAACAGUUAAAUUCUAAUUAUAGUGCAAAUUAUUAGAGCGACUACUAAGAAUUUACAACGGAGUCAAUUCUUUUACAAAAAAAAGCUCUACAUCAGAAAGGAAAGCGCGGAAGGUGGAAAACGGCCUGGUGGUGGAUCACUGUGCACGCCUACUGCCUGGGGGCGCAAAACAUUAAAAGGGUGAGUGGACCCAAAAACAAAGUUUAGAAAAAUACAUAUGAACAUAUUAACCCACACUGUAAAAACAAUUAUACAAACUAAAUUAUAUAUAUAUAUAUAUAUGCCAAUCAUACUCAUGGUCAACAUUAAUUUCUUGAAAGCAUUGAAAACGGUUUAAAACUACCACCUAGGUGUACCCCUUAUUUCCGUCAAUUCCUCGCAUCACCAUGGGUGACACGUACUCGCAAGUCUCAGUGACACAAGGUCAGUCCGAGCCGCAACUCUUAGGAUUCAGAGGACCGUAGUCAGCCUAAUCCACAUUACUCGCUCCACACGAGUUCGGGUACCAUAGAACUACUAUGAUGGUCAAUUUGUUUUUUCAUGCAAACAACUCUCCUGCUUCGUGUUUAUCUCUUGAAAACGUAACCUGCUAUGCUAUGAUGCAUAGUCUUUCUGCGUAUAGAAAGGAAACCUGGUCUUCUUUUCCUAGCAUUUUAAAUGGACAUGGAGAGUGUUUUCUGGUUAACCUGCUUUUAUUAACUCCACAUCACUUCCUCUGCCUUAGUUGAAAACUUUGACUUUCAAAGUCAGAAAGUCACAUGGGUUCUUUUUUAGAAAAGAUCUUCCCAAAAAAAUCUGUUGACUUGCAUUCUGGGAUUGAGAUUAACGGUGAUGAGAGCUUUUUAGAAGCUGGACCUAAUCCUGAAAUCAAUUUAGAAGUUUGAUUUGUCCACAUCAAGUCGCCAUUUAAUGGCGAUUAAUCUUUAAUCUAUGAUUCUAAUCCUUACUAAUUUGUUUCACAAAGGUCUGGGCCUCUAAAACCAUUUGGGCUGAUUUCUGACUUCAAAUAAAGCGCAAACUUCUGUUUUCUGAUUAGACCAAUGAAAAUUGGGUUGUCGUGUAGAAUUUAAGGCCAAACAAUAGCGAAUCCAUUUACAGUACAAACCAAUGCAAAGUUCAAGGAGAUAAACCAAUUGUCUUGUUGCCAUCAGGUCAGAUAAAUAACAUCAAUCUAUGGUCAAAUUAGUUCAUGAAAGAAUUUUGGACCUGUUUCUUCAAAAGUUUUAAACACCAAACAGUAACUAGAAUACACAAUACCAGUGGAAACUUGAAACAUGAUCAAACAAAAUAUAAGUGAACAUCUUCCCUACAUGAUAUGUACUAGGAUUAUUUACUGUAGAUGUCCUUGAACUUGGCCCCCAUUUGCAAUUGGGUUCGUGAACUUUUUUUUUGAGACAAUUACAUCCGUUAACUCGAUAAAUAGUUCCAAUUGGGUCCUGCCAUCCAACUCAGUCAAUUUGUCUGUCAAAAUGAGGGGGUAAAAACAUUCUUUCGGGUUCUUCAUCUAGCAUUGACCCCAACUCCACCUUUUUCUUCCAUCAUUGACCCAACAAACCCACCUCCAGAAUCUGACUAUUUUGGAAAGCCACCUUGUUCUUCCAUCAUCAAUUCAACAACCCCACCUCAAGAAUCUGACUAUUUUGGAAAGCCAUUUGUUAGAGGAGACUUUGUGCAUAAAAUUCCAACGUUUUGGAAUUUCAGAAAGACAAAAAAAAAAAAAAAAAAAAGCAGCGAGAGAGAAACUUACCCUACCUAACAAUUCUCUUCUUCAUGGAAACUUCUCAAUUCCACAAUCUCUUGGCCUCUUCCCGUGGUUUUCACCUUUUCUUUUGCUUUCGUUUGUGUUCAUCAGUCUCCCUCUUUGUCUCUCCCUCUCUCUCCCGCAACUUAUUCCCCCUCCUCCUUCAAAAUCCAGAUCCCAACCCAACCUGCAAAAACUUCUUUGCCGAAAACCUUAGUUUAGGUACCUCAAGGAGAUACUUUUCUAGUCAAGAAGAAGAUACAAUACACAACACUCUAUUUCACAUAAUGUACAAAACCCAAAAUCCCAAGUAGACAACUUCAAUCUGUCUUGACAUCAGGACUGUGGAGGGCAAGGUAGAGUACGUUCUUUGGCUUUCUCUCAUUGAUUUUAAGGGGGUUGGGUUGGGAUUUGGGUUUUGAGAGGGUGGGAUAAGGAGGAGGGGGAACGGGUUACGAGAGAAAGGGAGAGACAGAGACGGGGAGCUGAGAGAUAGCGAAAGAGAGAUAGAUGGAUUUGGGUUUGGAUUUUUAAUUUUUAAGUUUAUUUAAUUAAAUAUAAUAUAAUUAUUCAAUUUUUAAAUUUUAAAAAUAUUUUAAUUUAAAUGGACGGUUUUAGCCCUCAAAUUAACGGCCAAAUUGACGGAAGGACUCAAUUGGAACGGAAGAAAGAGUUGAAUGACCUAAUUGCCUAAAAAAAAAUUUCGCGAAACCAAUUACAAAUGAGGGCCAAAUUCAGUCACGGCCAUGGUCUUAAAUAUCGAUAGUUUCGGAAAUAUCGGUGGUUCAAAAACACGGAAAUAUCGAUGGAAAUAUCGGGAAAAUAUCGAUAUCGAUAAAAAUUGGAUAAAAACCACGGAAAUUAUGAUAAAUACUUGGAAAUUUUUAAUGAAACUUUAGAAGAAGUUUAUUUAGUCAAUCAUCUAUUAUUUUGACACAAAAAAUUGGAAGAAAAUGCAUUGCAUAGUGGGUUUGUGUGAUUUAAGUUGAUUAUAUUGCGACCUGACAAACUCUGUGACUUAGAAAAUCUGAAGUAAUUAAUGAAAGAGAAUUAAACACUCCUUAGUAAUUUAUUUAUCAUUUUUUAGUACAAUAUUUUACUCUUUAUAAAUUGCAUGAUAAGAUACAUGAGUAACCUUAUUUCACGUUAUUCACUGGACAUGGUACACGUUGUUAUAUCUAUUAAUUUAUAAAAAAUUGAAAAAUAAUUAAAGAUGUAAACCAACUUGAUUUGUCAUGAAAAUUAGGCACUUUAAUAGUGAAGAUUGAAAAUUAACUAAGAACAUAAAUAAAUUUAUCCAGUGAAGAAUUAAAUAGGAAAUAAUGAAAAUGAUUAUAGAAAUUUAAGUAAUUAAGCAACAAUUUAUUUCACGUUAUUCAUUGGACAUGGUACACGUUCUUAUAUUUAUUAUUUAUCAAAAAGUGAAAAAUAAUUAAAGAUGUAAACCAAUUUGAUUUUUCAUGAAAAUUAGGCACUUUAUCAGGCUUAAAAAAUAAUAGUGAAGAUUAAAAAUUAACUAAGAACAUAAAUAAAUUUAUCCAAGGAAGAAUUAAAUAGCAAAUAAUGAAAAUGAUUAUAAAGAUUUAAAUAAUUAAGUAACAAUUUGAAGGAGAAUUUAGUAAUGUAAGUACUUAUAAUGAAUAAUAAAAUAAUCAAUAACAUUAAAUGAAUUAAAUAGAAAAAAAAUAAAUUAUAUUAAGUAAUUAAGUCACAUUUCCCACUUUCCAAUUACUUUCACGUUUUCCUGCCUCCCUCUUCCACUUCCCAAGGUUUUUUUAACCUUUUUUUUUGUUUGAAUUUCCCAAGGUUGCAGAUACAUGCAACCUGCCUUCUCUCUCUCUUUUAGGCAUUCACCCAUCUCUCCCUUUUUAUUUUUUUUUAUUUAUUCUUCUUCCUCUUCCGUUUCACACUCCCACUCUCUCUCUCUCCCUUUCUUCUUCUAUCUCUCCGUCUCUUUCUCUUCUUCAUCUUCCCUCUUCUCUCUCCUCCAUCACAAUCCAAAACACUUAAACAUAAAGACCAACUCCACACAUUUUUUCCCUCUUCUUCCCUUCUCUCUCUCGCUCUUCUCUAUCUGCUUUUUUUUUUUUUUUCUUUCUUCUUCUAUCUCUCCAUCUCUUUCCUUGCUUCCUCUUCCCUCUUCUCUAUCGCUUCAUCACAAUCCAAAAUAGCAAAACAUAAAAACCCACUCCAUAAUUUUUUUUUUCCUCUUCUUCCCUUCUCUCUCGCUCUCCUCUUUCUGCUUUUUUUUUUUUCCUGAGUUGAGAGACAGAGAAAGGGUGAGUUUCAGAGGCUGAGGGGUUCAUCUGAAGGCUGAGUUUAAUUUUGUAAGUUCAUAUCGCGAUAUUAUCGAUAAUAUCGCGAUAUAUUGUCCAUUUAAAGCUACAACUUGAACGAAAAUAUCGUUAUUGAAAUAUCGGCGAAAUUAUCGAGGAAAUUAUCGAUAAAUUGACGAUAUAUAUAUGGAAAUGUGCUAAAAUAUCGUAGCCCCAAAAAAACGAUAAUUUCGCCGAAAUAUCGGCGAAAUUAUCGAUAUUUUGUUCUAUGGUCACGACUAAAGUAAAUAACCCUAUUUACUAUGAACAACGCAUCUGCUACUUCCGGAAUCAACUGAGGAAUGCACAUAAAAUGGCCCCUAUCUCUAUGAAACCCUCAGUUUCCCCCAAAAUCCCUACCAUGGCCCUAGCUUCCAGUGUUCGCCUUUCUUCCUCCAUCCUCCGCUACCGCCUCGCUGCCCCACUCUACCCGACCCGAUUUUCCAGUCUCCGUACCUGUCGGAGCUCCGCUUCCUGUCCGCAUCGUCCUCCCGUCCCGGGACCCACAUCCGCCCAAUCAAAGCGAGGCUCCAGGACGACCCCCAAAAGGAGGACCCAGGCGAGGGGCAGAACGGGAAUGGAAGUGUGCUGGUCAAGGACACAAGUGAGAACAGCGAAGAAAGAAUCGUUCGUGUUGAGCUCCACAAGUAGGCCACUGAAGCGUACAUGGCUAUGUCUGUCCUGCUCGGCCGCGCCCUGCUGGAUGUUCGCGACGGUUUGAAGCGGGUGCACCGUCGUAUUUACUAAGGUUGAAUGGUGAAUGAUGUGGGAGCACUACCUGGCUGGAUUUACUAGGUUGAUGAAAACAGCGACAGCGACUCUACGUAGAUUUUCUUUGCGAUUAGCCUUGAAGCCCUGACAGGUGAGCCCGAAUCUCGAUUUUUGUUUUGAUUUGGAUGCCUGCCUGCUUGAAUUGUACACUCACUGGAAACUCAAGUGUCUUUGGUAGUAGUAAUUGCUUUUUCUGAAAUGCAGACAUAACCACGCUAAACCAGUCCAGAUUCUUCAAAGGGAUUUGAAAACGCUCUUGACAUUCGGUGAUGAGUUUUUUGAUGAAGUAUCAUCACUGUUUCUGCCGAUGGUCAUUUACAGGUGUGUUGAGCAUAUUUAUUUUCUGAUUAGUUUGGCUUUUCAUGACACUGCAUCACACAUGCUAUUGUAAAGCAAGCCAUGAUCAUGCAAGUGUUCGGGUUAAUUCAAUUGUGGCGUCUUAAUUGUUGAUCUUGUGCAAUUAGUCAUCCUUGAUUUGCUUUGUAUUGUGGCAUCCAAGUGGUAAGUUUUUUUGUUUUUUUUUUGUUUUUUUGUUUUGUUUUUCCUGAACAUGAAGACAUGGGCUGGCAAGGAAUGCGGGACCUUACAUUUCUUACUUUGACAGGGUUUGCACAUGUAUAUCAUUAGUUUUUUUUUUUUGGACGUAUAAAAAUGACUCUUGGAACCAGUUUCUUCUUAAUUUGUAUAAAAAUGAGGGCCAUUCUGCACUGUUUACCCUUGCUGCUGUCAAAGUCAGGUCCUAGGAGGGAAAAAUGUCUUUUUUAGUAUUAACACAAACUCGAGAUCAAUUCCUGUCUUGAUUUUGUCGUUCAUAAAAUCUUCCCGUAAUUGUGAAACUCCCAGGUUUCUUUCACCAAGUACCUAUGGCCAAGUUAAAAUUGGUAGUCAUAUACAAGUUAUAAUAAUUGUGAAACUCCCAGGUUUCUUUCACCAAGUACUAUGGCCAAGUUAAAAUUGGUAGUCAUAUACAAGUUAUAAUAAUUGUGAAACUCCCCUUGUUUCUUCUUGCAUUGUUAUGUAACGCUGCCUUUUCUUGCUUGGCAUGUCGAAAGCAACUAGUGCCGUGGAUUUUGUGCCUACUUUGAAUUGAAGUAUGCUUGCUCUGAAAAUUAUAUUAUGUGCAAGUUAGCUUAGUUGUUUGUCUAAUAUCUUUAUUUUAUCUAUUUUUUAAGUUUCACAAUAACCUCCUUUAUUUAUUAAUUAUUUUAAAUAAAUAGAAAAACAGAAAAUCUGCUCAUGCUAGGUCCACUAGGGCUGCAAUGCUUUCUAAAAUAAAAAUGUUAAUUGAUGCAAUGUUUUGAAACUAGCUUAGCUUUAAGUGUACCGCGGUAAGGGCUAUGUUCUUUUCAUUCAAUUUCACUUUCACAACUAAGUUCUGUUUUGCUGUUGAUUUAUUUGAUAUGGUAGCAUCUUUUUUAUAGCAGCCUAUAGCAGACAGUGUUAAUAGCCUUAUAUGAAACCUAAUAAAUGAUUGCUAGAUUUUGAGAUCUUGGGUCUAUCAUAACCUUGAGUUUGAAUAUUCAAUGUUAAAGCUUUUAAGACAUUUAUAUCAGAAAGUGCAACAAAAAAGUUUGGAAAGCAAUUAAAAUAUAUCGGGCCUUCCCCUAAGGUCGACUCGAUUAUUCCUAACAAAGAAUCUGUGAACUUUUUAUGUCUUCCAUCUCCUAAAUUGGAUAAACCAAGAGUGGGAAAAAUUUUGAUUUUGAAAACACAACACAUAACCUCAAGCCUUUUUAUAAUCAGGCGUGGAACCUUCUGGCCCUUUUAGGGCUUGGACCCCAUCUCUCCAGCAGUAUCACUUCUAAUAUUUGAAGUUUGGAGAAAGCGAUCAUAUUUUAAUUAUCAUUUCUGGAUUCUACUCCAUUUCUUUUUGAACCUUUUGUCUUUGUAAAUAUUGAUUUAGAUCACAUUAUAAUUGGUUAUUUAGUUCACGUGGUCUCCUGAUCGCUUUGAAAUUUCAUUUUCCAGGAUUUCUCCCUACGAUUCCCACUAAUUCAAGGGCAUGGGAAUUUCGGGUCGAUUGAUGCUGAUCCUGCAGCUGCCAUGCGUUACACAGAGUGCAUAUUGGAGGUAUGUUCAGAUAUUUUAGUUACUUUGAACACUCUAUGGGUUUUUAAUAGUCAUGAUAUCGAAAUGAAUAUUAAGAUCUUUAGGUUAUAUGCUAUUCCAGAAACGGGGCAACCUCUCUCUCUCUCUCUCUCUCAUCCCCCUUCCCUCUCUAUGUAGUGAUGUUGUAAGUAAUUUUUAGUGCUCAAAAAGGCCAAAGAUCUUGUUCCAGAGUGUUUACUUAAUGCCUAUUGGCAGAGUGCGAACGUGCUGCAGUGUUUGUUUAAUGCCUAUUGCACAAAUCCAGGGAACCUAUUAGACAUACACAUGCCUUAUUGCAAAGGCUGGGUGAUAAAUGCAAUAACCUAUUAGACAUACACAUGCCUUGUUGCAAAGGCAAAAUGUUAAAUGGGAAAGAAUAAAUUUACGCCACUGAGUUUGGUUUCCAGCUUGUAUGAAGUACUUUAUAAGGUGUUGCUUUUGAGAUUGGAGUAGGUUUUGGGAAAUACCAGUGGACAAACACCAGGUAAUUUUGCGAAGGUGUGGAAUACCUGUCCAUUGCAGCAAGCUGCCAUUUUUUUCCUUGAAAAAAACAGAAAUGUCAGUGAAAUAUUGCCAAUAUCACUAGAAGGUAGCCUUAGAAAUUUAUACUAUUAGGAAUUUGUUUAGAUAUGAUCCACAUAGAGGUGCAACCAAGAAGCGUGUGUAUAGUGUAGCCUUCAUUGCAAUGCCACCCAUAAUGAUAUUAAUUAACGAUCCGAUUGGAUCAAUUUCUUCGUUCAAAAUGAUUCUGGUUUUACUAAAUUAUGGCUUUCCAUUGUUCUAGAAGUACACCAUAUUUUCUUGACUGAACUUUCUUGCUCAAAUGAUUCAUCACAAUGCUUGGAUUUUCAUUUGGUAUUUUUUGUCUAUUCACAGUAUUCAUAAUGGGCAACCUAAGCAGAUGGGUCUAAAGGAGUUGCUGCAGGUGACUGCUUAAGUUUAAUCUCUUUAUUGGAUUUAUUUGAUAUUGUAGCAUCUUUGCUAAGCACCCUAAGACUCCCCCCAUCUAAUAACCCUCGUAUGUUAUGUCAUAUAGCAGAUUCUAAACACGCGUCCAAAGGAUCAAGAGCUCUGGGGACAUCAGAUCAGGUACUUUUCUCCCUCCCUUGCUUCUGUUAAGUUAUUCGCGUACGGUUCCACUCAUUCUCUUGUCAAUCUGUCUAUUACAGAUUAUGGUAUUAAAGUAUUGGAAAAUGCCGAAGGUGAACUGGUGCGUUCACUUGAGAAUCGUUGAGUUUCAGCAAGUGAGGAUGGUAUUAAGGUACUUGAAAAAACAUUCACUUGAGAAUCAUGAAGUUUUUGCCUUUGGGCUGUCUUCCUGAAGUGUUGGGAAGGUAAAAUUGUUGCAUCAGAUUUAUCAAGCGACUCAAAUUUACUAAGUGAUUAGAAAUGUUAACUAAAAAAAUUAUGUUGCAAGAAUCUAUAAUUGACACAUUUAGUACUUCCAAUUCUGCCCAUGAAACAAACAACGAAGUGCUCAAAAUCGAGGUUUUAGUAGUAAAGGAGUAUGAUACCUUGCGUUAAGUAAGGGAAGUUCUUUCGAGAGCCAUGUUGGACUUGGGUUCGUUGGAAACAAGGCUAGCAUUUCAUUAUUCAUACGAAGAUACCCCUUUCAUGGUAUCUUGUGAUGCACUUGAGCAUCCUAACAUGAUCGUUAUGGACCACAGCUUUGUUGUUUAGUUAGGUUAGGUAAAAUCAAGAUACAUGUGGACGGAUGACGUGGGAAGAAGUGAGGACCGGAGGUUGGUGUGAUGGUGGUUACAGUGGUGUGAGCUGGUCAUGUAGAGGACGAAGAACUGUAGGCUUUGAGGGAACAAUGGAAAUAAGGUGGCAAAAUAGCUUUUCCUUUUCUUGGGCUGAUUGAUGUUGUGUUCUUAGGGGAGUAACACGAUGAUCUAGAAGAGAUUGCCUCUUUACUUUGGAGCUGCUUUGACUUUGCAAAAGGGAGGAAAGACAGAGUCUAUUUAGGAACUGCUCGGUCGCACAAAAGAGAGGAGGGACUUGACCUUUCAUGUUUCCUAGCUGCCUAUACAGAAAUCUCAAUAUUAGAGGAGGACUAACUGCUGAGAGUAGUACUUAAUUGUGCUUGGGCAAGAAGAAAACAGAGUCAAAGCAUCUCCAAAGUAGAGGGGCAAUAUCUUCUAGAUCAUCGUGUUACUCUCCUAAGAACACAGCAUUAAUCAGCCCAAGAAAAGGAGAAGCUAUUUUGCCACCUUAUUUCCAUUGUUCCCUCAAAGCCUUCAGUUCUUCGUCCUCUACAUGACCAGCCCACACCACUGUAACCACCGUCACACCAACCUCCGGUCCCUACUUCUUCCCACGUCAUUCGUUCACAUGUAUCUUGAUUUUACCUAACCUAACUGAACAACAGAACUGUGGUCCAUAACGAUCAUGUUAGGAUGCUCAAGUGCAUUACAAGAUACUAUGAAAGUGGUAUCUUCGUAUGAAUAAUGAAAUUCUAGCCUUGUUUCCAACAAAUCCAAGUCCAACAUGGCUCUCGGAAAAGCUUCCCUUAUUUAACACAAAGUAUCAUACUACUAAAACCUCGAUUUUGAGCACUUCGUUGUUGUUUUAUAGGCAGAAUUGGAAGUACUAAAUGUGCCAAUUAUGGAUUCUUUUAACAUAAUUUUUUUUAGUUAACAACCUUUCUAAUCACUUAGUAAAUUUGAGUCUCUUGAUAAAUCUAAUGCAAC